rnacentral:rRNA from 1 species
UGGAGGAAUACCGGUGGCGAAGGCGGCCCCCUGGNCAAAGACUGACGCUCAGGUGCGAAAGCGUGGGGAGCAAACAGGAUUAGAUNCCCUGGUAGUCCACGCCGUAAACGAUGUCGAUUUGGAGGCUGUGUCCUUGAGACGUGGCUUCCGGAGCUAACGCGUUAAAUCGACCGCCUGGGGAGUACGGCCGCAAGGUUAAAACUCAAAUGAAUUGACGGGGGCCCGCACAAGCGGUGGAGCAUGUGGUUUAAUUCGAUGCAACGCGAAGAACCUUACCUACUCUUGACAUCCACGGAACUUGCCAGAGAUGGCUUGGUGCCUUCGGGAACCGUGAGACAGGUGCUGCAUGGCUGUCGUCAGCUCGUGUUGUGAAAUGUUGGGUUAAGUCCCGCAACGAGCGCAACCCUUAUCCUUUGUUGCCAGCACUUCGGGUGGGAACUCAAAGGAGACUGCCGGUGAUAAACCGGAGGAAGGUGGGGAUGACGUCAAGUCAUCAUGGCCCUUACGAGUAGGGCUACACACGUGCUACAAUGGCGUAUACAAAGAGAAGCAAACUCGCGAGAGCCAGCGGACCUCAUAAAGUACGUCGUAGUCCGGAUUGGAGUCUGCAACUCGACUCCAUGGAGUCGGAAUCGCUAGUAAUCGUAGAUCAGAAUGCUACGGUGAAUACGUUCCCGGGCCUUGUACACACCGCCCGUCACACCAUGGGAGUGGGUUGCAAAAGAAGUAGGUAGCUUAACCUUCGGGAGGGCGCUUACCACUUUGUGAUUCAUGACUGGGGUG